GCAUAUCAAUAAGCGGAGGAAAAGAAACCAACAGGGAUUGCCCCAGUAACGGCGAGUGAAGCGGCAACAGCUCAAAUUUGAAAUCUGGCCCCCCGGCCCGAGUUGUAAUUUGGAGAGGAUGCUUUUGGCGCGGCGCCGUCCGAGUUCCUUGGAACAGGACGCCACAGAGGGUGAGAGCCCCGUACGGACGGACGCCUAGCCUCUACAAAGCUCCUUCGACGAGUCGAGUAGUUUGGGAAUGCUGCUCAAAAUGGGAGGUAAAUUUCUUCUAAAGCUAAAUACCGGCCAGAGACCGAUAGCGCACAAGUAGAGUGAUCGAAAGAUGAAAAGCACUUUGAAAAGAGGGUUAAAAAGUACGUGAAAUUGUUGAAAGGGAAGCGCCUGUGACCAGACUUGCGCCCCGUGGACCACCCGGCGUUCUCGCCGGUGCACUCCGCGGGGCGCAGGCCAGCAUCGGUUUUCCUAGGGGGACAAAGGCCGCGGGAACGUAGCUCCUUCGGGAGUGUUAUAGCCCGCGGCGGCAUGCCCCUGGGGGGACCGAGGACCGCGCUUCGGCAAGGAUGCUGGCGUAAUGGUCACCAGCGACCCGUCUUGAAACACGGACCAAGGAGUCAAGCAUUGGGGCGAGUGUAUGGGUGCCAAACCCGCACGCGAAAUGAAAGUAAACGCAGGUGAGAGCUUCGGCGCAUCAUCGACCGAUCCUGAUGUCUUCGGAUGGAUUUGAGUAAGAGCCUUACCGCUUGGACCCGAAAGAUGGUGAACUAUGCCUGAAUAGGGUGAAGCCAGAGGAAACUCUGGUGGAGGCUCGCAGCGGUUCUGACGUGCAAAUCGAUCGUCAAAUUUGGGCAUGGGGGCGAAAGACUAAUCGAACCAUCUAGUAGCUGGUUACCGCCGA
rnacentral:rRNA from 1 species